UCCUACGGGGCGCAGCAGUGAGGAAUAUUGGUCAAUGGCCGGAAGGCUGAACCAGCCAAGCCGCGUGAAGGACGAAGGUGCCAAGCAUUGUAAACUUCUUUUGUCAAGGGACAAAAUCAGGCUCGAGAGCCUGACCGAGGGUACUUGAAGAAAAAGCAUCGGCUAACUCCGUGCCAGCAGCCGCGGUAAUACGGAGGAUGCGAGCGUUAUCCGGAUUUAUUGGGUUUAAAGGGUGCGUAGGCGGACUGUUAAGUCAGCGGUAAAAGCCCGGGGCUCAACCCCGGAACUGCAUUGGAAACUGUUUU
rnacentral:rRNA from 1 species